rnacentral:rRNA from 1 species
GACGAACGCUGGCGGCGUGCUUAACACAUGCAAGUCGAACGGAAAGGCCCUGCUUUUGUUGGGUGCUCGAGUGGCGAACGGGUGAGUAACACGUGAGUAACCUGCCCUUGACUUUGGGAUAACUUCAGGAAACUGGGGCUAAUACCGGAUAGGAGCUCCUGCUGCAUGGUGGGGGUUGGAAAGUUUCGGCGGUUGGGGAUGGACUCGCGGCUUAUCAGCUUGUUGGUGGGGUAGUGGCUUACCAAGGCUUUGACGGGUAGCCGGCCUGAGAGGGUGACCGGCCACAUUGGGACUGAGAUACGGCCCAGAAUGCUACGGGAGGCAGCAGUGGGGAAUAUUGCACAAUGGGCGGAAGCCUGAUGCAGCAACGCCGCGUGCGGGAUGACGGCCUUCGGGUUGUAAACCGCUUUCGCCUGUGACGAAGCGUGAGUGACGGUAAUGGGUAAAGAAGCACCGGCUAACUACGUG